rnacentral:rRNA from 1 species
CGUCUAUAUACGUAUAGCAUAUCAAUAAGCGGAGGAAAAGAAACUAACAAGGAUUCCCCUAGUAACGGCGAGUGAAGCGGGAAGAGCUCAAAUUUGAAAUCUUAAAGGGUUUCCCUUUACGAAUUGUAGUUUAAAGAAGUGUUUUCUGUUGGAGUUUCGGUAAAAGUUCUUUGGAAUAGGACAUCAUAGAGGGUGAGAAUCCCGUAUUUGACCGUUACUUUCCAGCUGUGUGAUACACUUUCAAAGAGUCGGAUUGUUUGGGAAUGCAGUCCAAGAUGGGUGGUAAAUUUCAUCUAAAGCUAAAUAUUGGCGAGAGACCGAUAGCGAACAAGUACCGUGAGGGAAAGAUGAAAAGAACUUUGAAAAGAGAGUUAAACAGUACGUGAAAUUGUCAAAAGGGAAGCGUUUGACACCAGUGUUGUUUAGUUGAAAAUCAAUUCAAUAGUUUUUGAUUCUAAGUAGUAUUGACUUCAUCAGCUUGCUGCUUUCUUCUCAGAAAUUAUUGAAUGCACUUUUCAGUUAACAAGUCAACAUCAAUUUCUUUUGUUGUAAAAGGGUAAGAGGAAGGUGGCUUGCGCUUCGGCUCAAGUGUUUAUAGCCUUUUAUCUCUGCAAUCGGAGAGAUUGAGGUCUGCAGCGUAGAUCCUUCGGGGUUAGAUACAUUGGUGCUAAGCUAUAGCCUUGUAUAGACAACUUGUUGACUAUGCUCAGUCAUGUAGCUUACUCGCUUGAUGCUAUUUUACCUACGCUUAGGAUGUUGAUAUGCAUGACUGAUAU